GAGGAAAAGAAACCAACAGGGAUUGCCUUAGUAACGGCGAGUGAAGCGGCAAAAGCUCAAAUUUGAAAUCGGCCACCAGGUCGAGUUGUAAUUUGUAGAUUGUAUCUUGAGAGCGGAUUAAAGUCUGUUGGAACACAGCGCCUUAGAGGGUGACAGCCCCGUAAAAUCUAUUCUCAUUGUAAGAUACUUUCGAAGAGUCGAGUUGUUUGGGAAUGCAGCUCUAAGUGGGAGGUAAAUUCCUUCUAAAGCUAAAUAUUGACGAGAGACCGAUAGCGAACAAGUACUGUGAAGGAAAGAUGAAAAGCACUUUGAAAAGAGAGUGAAAAAGUACGUGAAAUUGUUAAAAGGGAAGGGUAUUGAAUCAGACUUGGUGCUGUUGUUCAACUGUGUUUCGGCAUAGUGUACUCAGCAGUACUAGGCCAAGGUGGGGUGUUUGGGAGUGAAAAAGAAGUAGGAACGUAACUCUUCGGAGUGUUAUAGCCUACUUUCAUAGCUCCUCAGGCGCCUCAGGACUGCGCUCGGCAAGAC
rnacentral:rRNA from 1 species